CAAGAUGGAAUAGAAAUGAAGGCCAGUUUUGAUACAGAAGAAAAGAAUUGCUGAGCCAGUCUUACUGGAUAACUAAGAAGCCAAAGGGUAAAAUGAGUUGGAAGGGGUUUUUAGGACUCAGAGUAAAGGAUAAACCCACCUCAAAC